GUAUUAUUUCACGAAGGAAUCUUGCAGCGUUCUAUUUCGAAGUGCGUCACAAUCAGCGAGCCAAGUUUUUGGUUUCGUUCUCAGUUGUAGCUGCGAUGCUUGGCAUGGCAUUUAUGCGAGUUCCACCUACGAGGGGUUUUCUUUCAAAAAGCAAAGAUGUCCAUCGUUCGCCCGAGAAGAAGACGCAUUCCUACUGUGCUCACCGGUGGCUCAUCUAGCCGUCCCAUGAACCUUUUCCCGAAUGAAAGAUCAAGAAGCAUCUUCGCCUUGCUUGAUGGGUAUGAUGAUCGGUCUGAUAAUGGUCCGCCACCAUCACUAGAUUCACAUAUGGAAAUGAACACUGACGACGUUCCUGUCGUUAAUGUCCAAGACUCCAGUGAUGGGGAAGGUACCGACGAAGCUACUUCCCGUCCGAGCUAUUGCAAGAUAUGCAUUAUGGAGAGCAAGAAAGUAAAGACUCAUGGCGAAGCUAGUAACCAAAUCAGGAAGGAGACACCUCUAAAGUGUGUUAUUUGCUUCUCCGCAACUACUGAAGGGGGCACCCACCAUCCCCAUGCCAUGAGGUGUGGUCAUAUCUUUGGGAAGAGCUGCAUCGAUUCAUGGAUUGGUGCGAAGAUGCCGUCGACCGUAAGCCCAUGUUUGUUCUUUUGGGUGAAUGUUUAUUUUUUUCAUUUUUUUUUCAUGCAUCUACGUUUUGCAUAUGUUUGCGUCGGCUGUAGUGUCCAGUGUGCACUCAAGUUUCGCAAGAUUCCAUGCUCAUCCAUCUGUUCGUAACAUCCGCGAUUCCCGACAUGCUGGAGAAUGCUUUGGAAAAGGCAGAUGGGGUGAACCAACUCAAGAUGAAACACUGUGCUGAAAAAGUGACGCUCAUCGGGCUGAACACCAUGCUAUUCAAAUGUGUGAAGAACUAUGUUGAAGCACUUGCAAUGGGUUGUGGAAUAUUGUCACCUGGCCCUUAGGUGGAAUGGGUUAUAUUUUGCUUUUGAUCGUGUUGCGGAGAAGAAGUAACUCAUGCCAAAUCCAUGCUCGCUGUUAGAUUUCCCAGAAAAUCUUUUUUGCUAUGCGUAUAAUGCAUAUGUUAGUUUCAUAGAUUUCGUGGAAAUCUUUUUCUUUUGAAAUUCCUUGUCGGAAUAUUAGCAUGGACAACUAUUUUGUAAUGUUA